GAUGAACGCUGGCGGCGUGCCUAACACAUGCAAGUCGAGCGAUUUACUUCGGUAAAGAGCGGCGGACGGGUGAGUAACGCGUGGGUAACCUGCCCUGUACACACGGAUAACAUACCGAAAGGUAUGCUAAUACGAGAUAAUAUGCUUUUAUCGCAUGGUAGAAGCAUCAAAGCUCCGGCGGUACAGGAUGGACCCGCGUCUGAUUAGCUAGUUGGUAAGGUAACGGCUUACCAAGGCGACGAUCAGUAGCCGACCUGAGAGGGUGAUCGGCCACAUUGGAACUGAGACGCGGUCCAAACUCCUACGGGAGGCAGCAGUGGGGAAUAUUGCACAAUGGGCGAAAGCCUGAUGCAGCAACGCCGCGUGAGCGAUGAAGGCCUUCGGGUCGUAAAGCUCUGUCCUCAAGGAAGAUAAUGACGGUACUUGAGGAGGAAGCCCCGGCUAACUACGUGCCAGCCGCCGCGGUAA
rnacentral:rRNA from 1 species